UAAUAGUCUCUGAAUAUGUGGCCUGAU
rnacentral:piRNA from 1 species